rnacentral:rRNA from 1 species
GUCUACAGCCAUGCUACCCUGAACAAGCCUGAUCCUAUCUGAUCUUGUAAGCUAAGCAGGGCCAGGCCUGGUUAGUACUGAAUGGGAGACCACCUAGGAAGAUCAGGUACUGUAGGUG